GGCUGGUGAUGUAGCUCAUUGUGAAGGCCAUGGGCUCAAUCCUCAGUACCACACACACACACACACACACACACACACACACACACACACACCUCCAGGCCCAGGCUCUUUCCUGGCUCCCUCACCACUCACCGGCUGUGGUAACCUCAGACCCAGAGCAGCCCCAGAAGACACAGUGCUCUCUUCUCCCUCAGGCCCAGUCCUCAGAGUCCUGCAAUGGCACCCUGACCCCCACGGGGCUGUGGGCCUGGCCUCCUGGGAGUCUGCUUUGAGCACUCAAUAGCAAGCCACUCAGGGAUGAACGAAAGAAGCUGUGCUGGAGGGAAACUGAGCAGGAGAGGGUGCUGGGAUCAGCGGGGGUGCUGGUGAGGGUCAGGGACCGGCAGUGUAACAUCACAGUGAGUGAGGGUGCUCCCCAGGAAGCUGGAAGGAACGCCCUGCCUUCUGAUAACUCUGGACCACUUUCAUCCCCUCCCAGAUGGGAAACUGAGUGCAUGGCAGCUUGGACUCCGUCCCUACCUGAGCGUGAGCAUGAGUCCUGGUGAACAGGUCAACACCACGAGGGUUUUGCUGGUGGAGAAACCGGAAACUGCUGCCACCGAUACUUGGGGAACUAGGGUUAUGGAACCCCCACGCGGGACGAUGCAACCCCACACACGCCUGUGUGAGAAGAAAGACAACCAAGAACAAAGACACGCACGAGCUGGACUCCGACAGAAUAUCAAAGUGGAGAUUAAUGCCCACGCUUAUAUAUUGCCUCGACGUUACUUUUGCGAGGCAAACAACAGGAGCAGAGCGAAGCGGUACAUAUGUUAAAUUCACAUCAGUAAUAAAGAUUAAGUAGAAGUUAAUAGCAUCCCGG
rnacentral:lncRNA from 1 species